AGCAGCUUAAAUAGAUAACAAGCUAGUUGUAGCCAAAGUCCCUGGGAAUACUCAGCACAGGACCGGAGCCAGCUCUGUUCUUUGGUUCAGAUGACAUCUCCAAGCUACAAGAGAGAAACGGAGAAAGGGGGGCAGAGGGAGAGUGAAUUUUCCCUACGAGCUGGAGCCCUGGAGGUGACGCAAUAAACACCCACGAGACGUGCGAGGAAGGCGACAGUUUUCUAUAUGCUUAUGUGAUUUUAACUGUAAAUAAAUA